rnacentral:rRNA from 1 species
UCGAACGAAGUAGCAAUACUUAGUGGCAGACGGGUGAGUAACAUGUGGGUAUCUACCCUUUGGCCUGGAAUAACACGAGGAAACUUGUGCUAAUACCGGAUAAGUCUUUACGGAGAAAGCUUUAUGCACCAUUGGAUGAGCCCGCAUUUGAUUAGUUUGUUGGUGAGGUAAUGGCUCACCAAGACUACAAUCAAUAGCUGAUUUGAGAGGAAGACCAGCCACAUUGGGACUGAGACACGGCCCAAACUCC